rfam:Micrococcales bacterium 73-13 scnpilot_expt_750_p_scaffold_2708, whole genome shotgun sequence.
GUCGUUCUUCGCGCGGGAGCUCGACCCGCGACUGCCGUGGUGAUCUCGUUCAUCGACGAUCAUCGUGACCGGUUCGGGGUCAAGCCGAUCUGCCGUGUGCUGACCGCGCAUGGGGUCCAGAUCGCCCCG